GCUGCUCGGAUAUUCACACACCUCUACGUGGUGGGCAGCAGGCAACGAUUUAUAAUCGGCUGAGAUGUGAAG
rnacentral:ribozyme from 1 species